CGUGUAGGCGGGACAGCAGGUCAGAUGUGAAAUACCCGGGCUCAACCCGGGGGCUGCAUUUGAAACCUCUGUUCUUGAGUGUCGGAGAGGAAAGCGGAAUUCCUAGUGUAGCGGUGAAAUGCGUAGAUAUUAGGAGGAACACCAGUGGCGAAGGCGGCUUUCUGGACGAUAACUGACGCUGAGGCGCGAAAGCGUGGGGAGCAAACAGGAUUAGAUACCCUGGUAGUCCACGCUGUAAACGAUGAAUACUAGGUGUAGGGGGUAUCGACCCCUCCUGUGCCGCAGUUAACACAAUAAGUAUUCCACCUGGGGAGUACGGUCGCAAGAUUGAA
rnacentral:rRNA from 1 species